UAUCCGGAUUUAUUGGGCGUAAAGGGCUCGUAGGCGGCUCGUCGCGUCCGGUGUGAAAGUCCAUCGCUUAACGGUGGAUCUGCGCCGGGUACGGGCGGGCUGGAGUGCGGUAGGGGAGACUGGAAUUCCCGGUGUAACGGUGGAAUGUGUAGAUAUCGGGAAGAACACCGAUGGCGAAGGCAGGUCUCUGGGCCGUCACUGACGCUGAGGAGCGAAAGCGUGGGGAGCGAACAGGAUUAGAUACCCUGGUAGUCCACGCCGUAAACGGUGGACGCUGGAUGUGGGGCACGUUCCACGUGUUCCGUGUCGGAGCUAACGCGUUAAGCGUCCCGCCUGGGGAGUACGGCCGCAAGGCUAAAACUCAAAGAAAUUGACGGGGGCCCGCACAAGCGGCGGAGCAUGCGGAUUAAUUCGAUGCAACGCGAAGAACCUUACCUGGGCUUGACAUGUUCCCGACGACGCCAGAGAUGGCGUUUCCCUUCGGGGCGGGUUCACAGGUGGUGCAUGGUCGU
rnacentral:rRNA from 1 species